AACGAACGCUGGCGGCAUGCCUAACACAUGCGAGUCGAACGAGACCUUCGGGUCUAGUGGCGCACGGGUGCGUAACGCGUGGGAACCUGCCCUUAGGUUCGGAAUAACUCCCCGAAAGGGGUGCUAAUACCGGAUAAUGUCUUCGGACCAAAGAUUUAUCGCCUUUGGAUGGGCCCGCGUUGGAUUAGCUAGUUGGUAGGGUAAAAGCCUACCAAGGCGACGAUCCAUAGCUGGUCUGAGAGGAUGAUCAGCCACACUGGGACUGAGACACGGCCCAGACUCCUACGGGAGGCAGCAGUGGGGAAUAUUGGGCAAUGGGCGAAAGCCUGAUCCAGCAAUGCCGCGUGAGUGAUGAAGGCCUUAGGGUUGUAAAGCUCUUUUACCCGGGAUGAUAAUGACAGUACCGGGAGAAUAAGCGCCGGCUAACUCCGUG
rnacentral:rRNA from 1 species